rnacentral:misc_RNA from 1 species
AAGUCGUAACAAGGUUUCCGUAGGUGAACCUGCGGAAGGAUCAUUAUUGAAAGGAGGGAGGCUGUUGCUGGUCCUCACAAGGGACAACCUGUGCACGCCUCUCUUGUCCAUUGCUUUCACACCUGUGCACCACUUGUAGGCUGAGAAAAUCGGUCUAUGUCUUUCUAUCAUUCACACCUUUUUACUUUGAAUGUAUAUCUGCUUGAAAUAAAGCAAAAAAUAUUAAUUAUACAACUUUCAACAACGGAUCUCUUGGCUCUC